CUCCUCUUUUUCCUUUAUAACCACUUAUCUUCAAAUCCAUACCUCUACUGCUAUAUCCUUUCCUUCCUUCCUUCUUUCCUUCCAGUGAAAGACAGAGAAAAGAAGAGAAACAUUUCCCUUACUUGUAAUUCUACUGUUCAGGCGUUUUAUGCAUCUGAAAUAGUGCAUAUAUAUCUGCCUGGCUCCCUGAAUGCCAUAUAAGAAGCUUGUCAAAGAAAUUGGCAGAUUUCUUACUUGGCAUGAGGGGAGUCAUGCAGGCCUCUCUCUAUCAGAUAAAUGGAAACACCAUUCAUGCAAUUCUUAUCUAUUUGGGAAAGUUCACGAACGCCAUUUUCGUUUCUUCCCAAAUGGACAACUCAACAACCAUGAUUUAAGAGUUGGAGAUUUUUAUGAAGAAGAUUUGAAUUCAAAUCUUAAGUUAGAUGGGAAAAAUAAGGACAGAAUAUAAUUAUUCCCAUGGAUUAAUGAAGUGGGUAUAAAUUUCAAUUUCAAUGUGAAAAAAGAGAAAAAAUACAACAUUUGUACAGUGUUGCAGAAUUUCUAAGAGACUUGUUUUGUGGUUAGGAAGAAACCUCAUAAUGCAGGACGCUUGAUGUGGGCCUGCUUUUUUUAUAUUCAAUGUAAAUCUCUACAAGCCAGUGACAAAGAUAUGUUAUCCUGCACUAAUCUUCCCAUGACAUUUGUUCUUUAUUUAUGACUCAAGAGAUAUUUUCUAUCUUUUAA